rnacentral:rRNA from 1 species
CAAGUUGAAGAAGAGAUCAAUUGGGAAGAGCAAAUUAAAUUUGAUCCAGGUAAAAGGAGAAGUAUUGAUGAGUAUCAUCCGAAUAUGAGAGAUAUGGUAAGACUGAAGUACUUGGCCAAUGGACCUUGUGAGCCUCGUACUGGUGAUUUUAAAGUAACCAAAAUAUGUGGUAGAGAUAGAAGGUUCGUUCGGGAAUGGUUUGAUGAGUUUGAGAGGUUUAGACCACGCAAGAAGAAAGAAGAUGGAUAUGAUGCAUUUGUUGCAAAUGGUUGGUCAAGUUGGAAUAAAAAAUAUAGAUUGAAGGAGCAUGUAGGAGACAUCAAUAGUGCUCACAACCAAGCAAAAAUAGAUUGUGAUGCUUUGCAGAAACAAAAGGAACACAUUUAUGUUGCUCUAAAUAACCAAAGUAAUGCUGAGAGGAUUCCUUAUUAUACUCAACUAAAUGCCUCAAUUGAUGUUGCAAGGGUGUUACUGAAGCAAGCGUUGCCUUUUCGUGGCCAUGAUGAGUCCGAGGAGUCUCUCAAUAAAGGCAAUUUCAUGGAAUUUCAUUCUUACACAACAGAGCAGAAUCCAACUGUAAGAAAAGUUGUGGCCCAUAAUGCUCUAGGUAAUAAUCAGUUGACUUCUUCGAAGAUUCACAAGGACAUAGCUGAAUGUUUUGCAAAGGAAAUAUUGCAUUAG